UACAGAGGUCUCGAGCGUUAUUCGGAUUCAUUGGGCUUAAAGCGUACGUAGGCGGAUGUGCAGGCAUCGUGUGAAAUCCCCUGGCUCAACCAGGGAACUGCUCGGUGAACCGCACGUCUUGAGGCAAGUAGAGGCUGUCGGAACGAUAGGUGGAGCGGUGAAAUGCGUAGAUAUCUAUCGGAACGCCGAAGGUGAAAACAGGCAGCUGGGCUUGAUCUGACGCUGAGGUACGAAAGCGUGGGGAGCGAACGGG
rnacentral:rRNA from 1 species